rnacentral:rRNA from 1 species
GACGAACGCUGGCGGCGUGGAUUAGGCAUGCAAGUCGAACGGUAUCAUCCUUUCGGGGGUGAGAGAGUGGCGAACUGGUGAGUAACACGUAGGUUAUCUACCCUCAAGACGGGGACAACCCAGGGAAACUUGGGCUAAUACCGGAUGUGAGCAACUUUUAGUUGUUUGAAAGGUGGCGUAAGCUGUCGCUUGGGGAUGAGCCUGCGUCCUAUUAGUUAGUUGGUGAGGUAACGGCUCACCUAGGCAAUGAUAGGUAGGCGGCCUUAACGGGUGGUCGCCCACACUGGGAUUGAGAUACGGCCCAGACUCCUACGGGAGGCAGCAGUCGAGAAUAGUCUACAAUGGUCGGAAGACUGAUAGUGCGACGCCGCGUGAACGAUGAAUCCCUUCGGGGUGUAAAGUUCUUUUAUAUGUGAGCAGUGCUUCUUAUAUUAACAGUAUGGGGAGAGAGAUAUUAGCAUAUGAAUAAGCAACGGCUAACUCCGUGCCAGCAGCCGACGGGU